CGGGGUGCAGCAGGCGCGAAAACUUUACAAUGCGGGAAACCGUGAUAAGGGGACACCGAGUGCCAGCAUCAUAUGCUGGCUGUCCAGGUGUGUAAAAUACACCUGUCAGCAAGGGCCGGGCAAGACCGGUGCCAGCCGCCGCGGUAACACCGGCGGCCCGAGUGGUGAUCGUGAUUAUUGGGUCUAAAGGGUCCGUAGCCGGUUUGGUCAGUCCUCCGGGAAAUCUGACGGCUCAACCGUUAGGCUUUCGGGGGAUACUGCCAGGCUUGGAACCGGGAGAGGUAAGAGGUACUACAGGGGUAGGAGUGAAAUCUUGUAAUCCCUGUGGGACCACCUGUGGCGAAGGCGUCUUACCAGAACGGGUUCGACGGUGAGGGACGAAAGCUGGGGGCGCGAACCGGAUUAGAUACCCGGGUAGUCCCAGCCGUAAACGAUGCUCGCUAGGUGUCAGGCAUGGCGCGACCGUGUCUGGUGCCGCAGGGAAGCCGUGAAGCGAGCCACCUGGGAAGUACGGCCGCAAGGCUGAAACUUAAAGGAAUUGGCGGGGGAGCAC
rnacentral:rRNA from 1 species